rnacentral:lncRNA from 1 species
UCCCAAGUCAGCAACCUCCCUCGCAGCACCUCAGCUGUUGUAUUUUGUUCUUUACAUCUUUUAGGUGCUCUUCAUGUGCGGCAAUUGUUUCAGAAAAACUCCCUCGCAGUAUACUUCCUAACAUGUGUUGGAUCUACUUCAUAGAACACUGGCAAGAUAUCUGUUCAGUGGUUCUCCUGUGUUACAUGAUCUUACCUAGUUCAUCAGGAAACCACAGAGAAGAGGCACAAUUUUAGGAGAAGAUAAUUAUUUAUAUUGAGACUCCAAUGGCUUUUUCAAGUUAUUUUAUUCAUAUCCUUUCCUCUUUCAACCCCAUCAUCAUAUUUAGAUGUAUGAAUUCCUGCCCGCAGUAGGGCCCUAUAAAGGUGAUCCGUGAAGCUCCAGCACCUCGUAAACUUAAGAACAUAUACUAAGCAUAUCCAGAACCUGAGGAGGAAGCUCGCUGCUCUGCACUCGCUGCAUCCAUUGAUAACCCAAAAUUUCAGGAGUAUCGAUUGAAAGCAGAUGGGUGAUGAAUAGAUAAUAAAGCACCAAGGAUCGACAUAAAUUUGUUGGCUCAAGCAAAUCAAUUAUGAUAUUUUUUUGCAGGAAAUUUCCACUUUAACAAUCAUGAUAAGCAAGUGAGCUAAAUCACAUCUUACCAUUUGCCUUUAACAAAAUUUCCGUCUUCUUUAAUUACUCCAACAAUGCAUUUUAGCUUUUACAAGGUAUUAAUUAAUAACUACAUGUGAUAAAUACAGAGGACUUUUAGGUAUUCUUGAUUAGAUCCUAGAAUUGAUCGGAUCCUAGAGUUCUCUUCUAGGACCAAUUAUCAUUUAAGUACCAUAACUUCAUACUACAUUAAAAAUUAUCCAUAAGAUUUUGAGUUCCAUUCAAUUAGAUACUCUAAUCUUUAAUUAGUCUCCCAAUACAUCUAUCACCAUACAAAUACCUGAAGAAAAUCUCAUCCUUAACAGUCUAACCAUGUAAAUGCUUCCUUUUAUAAAUGCCACCUUAAUUUAAGUUAAUAUAAUAAUUAGAAAGGGCUUUGCAAACCCUCCAGCUUCAUCCUCAUGCAUCAUCAUCUAUGAAAAAACCUAAUUGCCUUACUAAAAGCAAUUCACAAACUAAUUAAUAAUACUUAAUCCAUUAACACAUCCUUCCUAGGAAAACUUUCUGAAUAAAAAGAGCAAAUUCAUGUCUCAAGAAUCGAUUCCACAUAUAAAAUAAUUCUAAAAACGUUUUACGUGUAUUAUCUAUCACUCACAUAUAAAAUUUGCUUCAUAUUCACAUAAACAACUCAGUAGUCAACCAAAUCUAUCAAUUGUCACUUAUAGAAAUUAUGACCUAAAAAUCCCUUCUAGUAUCUGUAUUCCCAUAUACUAGGUUAAUCUUACAACUAGAGGAAAAAAGAUAAAUCACAUCAGAAUCCCGGAUGUAGAAACCUUACUCAAAUUCGGUCAAUAGGUAAAUGACCUUUGUGUGAUGUUAUCUGGUGCACAAACAUGUAUGAACUGAUUAAUAGACAAAUUAUCCGCUUAGUGAAUCAACUUUGACCGAGCCAAUCAAACUACAUGCUGGAAUUUUUCGGAUUUUAGACUCUGCCAUCACUUUCCUCCAAUUAGCAGCAUCUCCCCACCUUUCCCCAACGGCACUUACAU